UUCAAGUCAUGCGAGUGUCAUCAUCAAUAAAUGAAACAAACCAACGUGCUCCACUCAAAGAGGACGUAUUUGUAGGCCCCCAUACAUCGGAGUGAAUAACCAUAAAAUGUAUAGGACUUUUAUUCAUGCUAAUGGGAAAUGGAACACGAUGACUUUUGGCUAGUGCACAAAUGUCACAUUUAAAAUCAGAAACAGUCAAUUGUGAAAACAACUUUGGAAACAAUUUCUGUAAAUAUCCAAAAGAUGCAUGGCCUAAACGUCUGUGCCACAACCAGAUUUCUAAACUCUAGCAUUUAUCAGGUGUAUCAGCUGAAAGAACUUGGGCCAACUGAUUUGAGCUUGCUGGCAGUAGAUCCAGAUAAUAGAGCUUCCUUUUCCUAGUACCAUAACCAAUUGUCUUCCGAGUCUGAAUAUCCUUAAAGACACAAAGAUUAGGCCAAAAAAUCACAACACAAUUUAAAACCAAGGUUAUUUGAGCAAUAGACAAUAAGUUGUGAUUAAGAGAAGGAACAACCAGAACUGAAUCCAAAUUCAAAUUUUUGUAAGAGCAAUUGAACCUUCUCCUAUCACGGGAGAGGGAGUACCAUUGGCUGUGGACACAAUAUGUUGGUUUGAGGAUUUCAUGGACCGAAUAUGAUUAUUAUCAAAGGUCAUGUGAUGUGUGGCACCUGAAUCAAUUAUCCAUUCACUAUGACUAACAGAAGUAGAAAUAUGAAGAGCCUUACCCACAUUCCUAGAGGUAGCAAUGAAAGAGGAGGCUUUCUCAGGAUUACUGGUGGAGGAAUGAUUAGGUUCGACCACAACAACAGAAGCAUGAUGAUUUGACUUUGAAUUUCGUUUGCGAGGUGCCUUGGAAAAAUCCCACCAUUCUGGAUAUCCAAUAAUGUCAUAGCACCGUGACUUAGUGUGUCCUGUUUCACCACAAUGAGUACACAAGCGUUCUGGUUUGCCAACUGACUGAUUAUGAUCAUGGUUUGAUGGACCAAGGGCUCGAUCUAGUUUCGGGUUUGUUUGCGAUUGUUGAUUCUUAGCUCGGUUAGCUCGGUGAGCUACCAUAGUAGAUGACUCUAAAUGUUCAGGUUUACCAUUCAGUGCAGCUCGACGAACAGAAUCACGACGAACAUAUGCAUAAGUCUCUUCAAGAUCUAGUGCAGGAUCCCUUCUGAGAAUCUCACCUCGAAUUUGUUCAAAUUCAGCAUCAAGUCCAUUCAGAAAAAUAUGCACCCGCAGUCUCUCAAUAGAUUUUUUUAUAGGCGAUAACAUCCUCAGGAUCCUUCAUGACAAUUUUAUCACGAUGAUCUUGAAAGAUUUCUAUCAAAUCACCGUAAUAGGUAGAAAGAGGGCGACCAACUUGUUUAGUAGAGAAUGCUCGUUGAUUCAAUGCAAAAAGUCGUGAUUCAUCUGCCCCAUCAUAGAAUGCUUUGGCAAGAGCAAUCCAGAUUUCACGUGCAGUAGACAUCUGAGAUAGCGUUUCAUACUCUCUGGUGACAUAGAGGUCAGCAACCAUCCUUUAACCUUUUGAUUUUCAGCAUACCACUUCACAUAAGAAGUAUCAGUAACCUUCGGGGAUGUUGUACUCGUAAGAUAUUCAAGCUUUUCACGCCCUACAAUCUGCAUUUCCAUGAUUUGAGACCAUACAUCAUAAGUGGUUUUGGUAAGGAUAACAUUAGUUGUGAAACUGGGUUUUCUGAUUGAACAUGGAUAACUGAUACAGAGGAUGAUUUGGGUUUGUCAGUAGUCAUGAUGCAGAGGUAUACGAAUUCAGGCGAUAAAGAACAAAUAAUAAUAAGACCUGCUCUGAUUCCAAGUUAAAAUAUGAAGAGAAGACUCGAAUACUAUUUUUUCUAUUACUCACUGGGCAUAAAUAGCCAUUGUACAAGGUUUUAGAUCCUAUAGUUUAGGACUGAUUGACUAACUAUAAGGAAACUAUAGAUGUUGUGUAUUUACAGGAAUUCUAGUCUAUCUAUACAGCUAGCAGCGGAGACAAAUUAGGACGUGAAUGUUGGAGAGCCAACUUGGAGACAAUUACUCUUGAUUGUCAACAAUUGUUGCGUCUUUGAGAAAACUUUUGUGCUGGUCUGACUUAUGAAGGUCGCUUUUUUUUUUUUUUUUUUGUUUUCCUUUGAUCUAGUGCAAUAUCAGGUUUGGAUAUCCACUGUAAAACACCACCAUAACUCAACUGCCAGAGGUGAAGCAAUAUAUAUCUAUGUGGAUUAACUAGACAUUAAAUUAUACAAAAGAAAAUGAAGAAAUUCGAAGUGAAGCUUUUUAGAUGCAACAACGGGUAGGGAGUUAUCUGAGGCUAUGGUUUGGAGUUGGGUUAAAGCCCAAAGGGUCUUAGAGAAGAGUUCAAUUGGAAUUGCGAUUGGGGCGUCAGUCAAAGCCGACGUCGUGCUUGUCCCACACGUUGCAUUCACUGGUUAAUUUAUGGUUGGCCAUAGAAGUGGGGUUGGUUCAGAUAGCCUUCUUCCUCAUCUCUCUGUCAAAGUAUGCAUAUGGAAAUGGAGAAGAGUUUCAACAGUCCUCUCUACUUUGUAUUUGGGUGGUGGUGGUGCAGGUUAGUACUCCUCUUCUGGGUCUGGAUAUCAGCAACUCAGGCCCAACAAUCCUACGUCAACGACAGCCAGUUUAACUGUGAAAACCACUUCAAGGAGGCGGAUGGAUUCCAGUGCAACGGCCCCAGAUCAUGCCUUUCCUACCUCACCUUCCGAUCUGCCCCUCCCUAUGACUCCCCACGCUCCAUAUCCUCUCUCUUGAACUCCGACCCAGCUCAGAUCGCCAGUAUUAGCCAAGUAUCCGUUGAUGACAAAAUCCCCCCUGCACAGAUCCCUCAUUGUCCCAGUCAAUUGUUCCUGUUCAGGUGACUUCUAUCAGCACAACGCCUCCUACACCGUCAAUGCUUCCGACACUUACUUCUCCAUCGCCAACAACAUCUACCAGGGCCUCACCACCUGCCAGGCCCUCAAGGCUCAGAACCCCUCUCAUAAUAGUAGGGGGCAUUUGUCGGAGGAUAUAGAUCUGCUGAUUCCGCUCAGGUGCGCCUGCCCCGUCGACGUUCUAAUCAGCUCCGGAUACAACUACUUGCUCUCUUAUAUCAUCAAUAUGGGCGAGAACAUCUCUUCCAUCGCCCAAACCUUCCAUGUGGAGAAAUGGGCCAUAUAUGCUGCCAACGACUUGCCUUACUCGGACGAACAGAUUUUCUCCUCCACCGCCCUUCUUAUCCCACUUAAGGAUCCUCCCACCGCUUUCCAAACUCGACGGACUUCGAAUUGUGUCCCGAAUGAUGCUCUACUAUAUGAAAUUUUUUAAUCUAGUGUUUUAAUUUUCCACAUUUUGUAAUUGAUA
rnacentral:lncRNA from 1 species